rnacentral:rRNA from 1 species
CCUACGGGAGGCAGCAGUGGGGAAUAUUGCACAAUGGGGGAAACCCUGAUGCAGCGACGCCGCGUGAGUGAAGAAGUAUUUCGGUAUGUAAAGCUCUAUCAGCAGGGAAGAAGAUAGACGGUACUGGAUUAAGAACCCCCGACUAACUACGUGCCAGCAGCCGCGGUAAUACGAAGGGGGCAAGCGUUAUCCGGUUUAACUGGGUGUAAAGGGAGCGUAGACGGCUAUGCAAGUCUGAAGUGAAAGCCCAGGGCUCAACCCUGGGACUGCUUUGGAAACUGUGGAGCUAGAGUGCAGGAGAGGUAAGCGGAAUUCCUAGUGUAGCGGUGAAAUGCGUAGAUAUUAGGAGGAACACCAGUGGCGAAGGCGGCUUACUGGACUGUAACUGACGUUGAGGCUCGAAGGCGUGGGGAGCAAACAGGAUUAGAUACCCGUGUAGUC